CGUGAAACGCUCGCUUAGACAGUAAAGUCGCCACCGAACUUUAUUUAUUCCCAAAGGAAAAGGAAAAUAUCGAUAAAACCUUGAAAGAAUGGAAAAUGGUCGUCGCAACCAUUUUCGGGUUCGGGAGUCGAUUAUGCAAGGGGAAGGUAUUAACACCCCUCACAUCCGUUGUACCUAACGGGAACCGUUAAUUAGUUUAGCGUUUGGUUUAGGUGUGAGUUUGAUGUUUGUUUUUUAUUAUUAAAUGUGAAUUAAAAAGAAUUGUUUGAUUUUUAAUAAAAGGA
rnacentral:lncRNA from 1 species